GAGAAUUACAGAGACAAUUGUCUCAAUCAGCUUUGCAGCAACUCAAUUGGCAAUGGCUUGAACGUAAUAGACGUUCAUUAAUAUCAAAAGGUUACGCACUAAUGCUU